rnacentral:rRNA from 1 species
UACGUAGGGUGCGAGCGUUAAUCGGAUUUACUGGGCGUAAAGCGUGCGCAGGCGGCCCGUUAAGCCAGGUGUGAAAUCCCUGGGCUCAACCUAGGAAUUGCGCUUGUGACUGGCGGGCUAGAGUACGGUAGAGGGGGGUGGAAUUCCUGGUGUAGCAGUGAAAUGCGUAGAGAUCAGGAGGAACACCGAUGGCGAAGGCAGCUCCCUGGGCCUGUACUGACGCUCAUGCACGAAAGCGUGGGGAGCAAACAGG